AUUGAACGCUGGCGGCAAGCCUAACACAUGCAAGUCGAACGAGGGGCGGACGGGUGAGUAAUGUCUGGGAAACUGCCUGAUGGAGGGGGAUAACUACUGGAAACGGUAGCUAAUACCGCAUACCAUCGGAUGUGCCCAGAUGGGAUUAGCUAGUAGGGGGGGUAAAGGCUCACCUAGGCGACGAUCCCUAGCUGGUCUGAGAGGAUGACCAGCCACACUGGAACUGAGACACGGUCCAGGCUCCUACGGUAGGCAGCAGAGGGGAAUAUUGCGCAAUGGGCGCAAGCCUGAUGCAGCCAUGCCGCGUGUGUGAAGAAGGCCUUCGGGUUGUAAAGUACUUUCAGCGGGGAUGCGUUACCCGCAGAAGAAGCACCGGCUAACUCCGUGCCAGCCGCCGCGGUAAUUC
rnacentral:rRNA from 1 species